rnacentral:rRNA from 1 species
UACGUAGGGUGCGAGCGUUGUCCGGAAUUAUUGGGCGUAAAGAGCUCGUAGGCGGCUUGUCACGUCGGCUGUGAAAUCCCGAGGCUCAACCUCGGGUCUGCAGUCGAUACGGGCAAACUAGAGUAUUGCAGGGGAGACUGGAAUUCCUGGUGUAGCGGUGAAAUGCGCAGAUAUCAGGAGGAACACCGGUGGCGAAGGCGGGUCUCUGGGCAAUAACUGACACUGAGGCGCGACAGCGUGGGGAGCAAACAGG